AGCCACCUGGCCACCACCAUCCUGUUGCAUCAAUGCUGUAGUAGUGGACGAUGGCAUAAUCAUCAUAAAUGGGCAGCGAGCAACGGUCAGCGUUGACAAUGGACCCCUAAGGACGACAAGAGAGGCCCACCUCAUCACGUUCGAAGACAGAACCGUGAUCAACGGCACCCUGUUCUUAAACCUCAACAAAGCAUUGAGGAAAGUUCCAGGAAUCGUAGCUUCGCCUUUGCUGUCAAUAACGGGGCACGGUGAAAUCCUAAGCCUACCACGACUACAAUCGAUGAACGAGCACAAUCUAAGGGCCAUCCAAGAACUUAGAAGCGACAUGACAUCCGGUGGGUCACCCAAGACCUGGUUCAUUGCGGUCAGCCUCAAGCUCUGUGGCCUUAUCCUGUUGCAUCAAUGCUGGAGUCGAAGGAACUCCUCAAUCAAGUUGCAAAAGGUCAUCAGAGAGAUAGGUAUCGCCGAGGACGGAGAUGAUUUAAGGGGGGAGUAGUUAACACAUAAGCAAUAACAUGGGACACCCUAACUUAGCGCACAAGAAAUGUG
rnacentral:lncRNA from 1 species